ACGCUGGCGGCAGGCCUAACACAUGCAAGUCGAACGGCAGCACAGCAGUAGCAAUACUGUGGGUGGCGAGUGGCGGACGGGUGAGGAAUACAUCGGAAUCUGCCCAGUCGUGGGGGACAACCAGCCGAAAGGUUGGCUAAUACCGCAUGCGACCGGAAGGUGAAAGCGGGGGACCCCUUAAAAGGCCUCGCGCGAUUGGAUGAGCCGAUGUCGGAUUAGCUAGUUGGUAGGGUAAAGGCCUACCAAGGCGACGAUCCGUAGCUGGUCUGAGAGGAUGAUCAGCCACACUGGAACUGAGACACGGUCCAGACUCCUACGGGAGGCAGCAGUGGGGAAUAUUGGACAAUGGGCGCAAGCCUGAUCCAGCAAUGCCGCGUGUGUGAAGAAGGCCUUCGGGUUGUAAAGCCCUUUUGUCCGGAACGAAAAGCGCCAGGUUAAUAACCUGUCGUGCUGACGGUACCGGUUGAAUAAGCACCGGCUAACUUCGUGCCAGCGGCCGCGGUAAUACGAAGGGUGCAAGCGUUAAUCGGAAUUACUGGGCGUAAAGGGUGCGUAGACGGUUUGUUAAGUCGGAUGCGAAAGCCCCGGGCUCAACCUGGGAACUGCAUCUGAUACUGGCAGGCUAGAGUGUGAUAGAGGAUGGUGGAAUUCCCGGUGUAGCGGUGAAAUGCGUAGAGAUCGGGAGGAACAUCUGUGGCGAAGGCGGCCAUCUGGAUCAACACUGACGUUGAGGCACGAAAGCGUGGGGAGCAAACAGGAUUAGAUACCCUG
rnacentral:rRNA from 1 species